GACGAACGCUGGCGGCGUGCUUAACACAUGCAAGUCGAACGGAAAGGCCCUUCGGGGUACUCGAGUGGCGAACGGGUGAGUAACACGUGGGUGAUCUGCCCUGCACUUUGGGAUAAGCCUGGGAAACUGGGUCUAAUACCGAAUAUGAUCAUCGGCUUCAUGGUCGGUGGUGGAAAGCUUUUGCGGUGUGGGAUGGGCCCGCGGCCUAUCAGCUUGUUGGUGGGGUAAUGGCCUACCAAGGCGACGACGGGUAGCCGGCCUGAGAGGGUGACCGGCCUCACUGGGACUGAGAUACGGCCCAGACUCCUACGGGAGGCAGCAGUGGGGAAUAUUGCACAAUGGGCGCAAGCCUGAUGCAGCGACGCCGCGUGAGGGAUGACGGCCUUCGGGUUGUAAACCUCUUUCAGCACAGACGAAGCGCAAGUGACGGUAUGUGCAGAAGAAGGACCGGCCAACUACGUG
rnacentral:rRNA from 1 species